ACAAUAAAUCACUAAUUGUUCGCCAAAUAACUACGAGUAAAAACUUAAAAUUUAAAAGACUUGACGGUACCUCACAACAGCCUAGAGGAGCCUGUUCAAUAACCGAUACUCCACGAUUAAUCCAACCCCCCCUAGCCUACCAGUCUAUAUACCGCCGUCGCCAGCCUACCUUAUGAAAGAAACAAAGUAAGCCAAAUAGUCACACACUAACACGACAGGUCGAGGUGUAACUAAUGAGGGGGCCUAGAAUGGGCUACAUUUUCUAAAUUAGAUAAUACGAAUAAACCAUGAAAUAAGAAACUGAAGGCGGAUUUAGCAGUAUACUACGAACAAAAUACCUAGUCGAAACUAACGCAAUGAGGUGCGUACACACCGCCCGUCAUCC
rnacentral:rRNA from 1 species